GACAGUCAGUAGUUGGUCUGGCGUGAGCAGGAAUUCUCAGAUCACCUUUUGGCUGUGGG
rnacentral:pre_miRNA from 1 species